rnacentral:lncRNA from 1 species
AACUGACAGACACACAGACAGUCAGACAUAGGGAGAGGCUACUAGCCUCAGCAGGAGAUUGACAAUAGGGUGAGUGGUUUCAGCUCUUUCUUCAGAGCCAAUGAUCUGUUCUUGUGUGAGUCUUUGAGAUAAUUUACCCGACUGGUGGCAGCUUGUAGCACACAGCCUUGACGCAGUUCUCUCCUGCUCCUCACGCGGACCACCGGAGCUCUCCCCUUACUCUUCACGCAGACCACCGGAGCUCUCCCCUUACUCCUCGCGCAGACCACCGCAGCUCUCCCCUUACUCCUCGCGCAGACCACCGCAGCUCUCCCCUUACUCCUCACGCAGACCACCGCAGCUCUCCCCUCACUCCUCGCGCAGACCACCGGAGCUCUCCCCUUACUCUUCACGCAGACCACAGGAGCUCUCCCCUUACUCUUCACGCAGACCACCGGAGACACCCAGCAGGCAGAUGCAAGCCUUUUUGAUCUGUGAAAAAGCAGCCAGUCAAUCACACAUAUUGACUCAAAGGAUAAGCUGUCAAAGUAAGAGCUUAUUGAUGGAUUUUUCCACCCUCGUAUUUCAAUACAAUCUCCCCUGAUCUGAUUUUGUGGUUCACUCUGUCUACUUUGAAGACACACAGGUUGUGUUAAG